rnacentral:rRNA from 1 species
GACUAACGCUGGCGGCGUGCUUAACACAUGCAAGUCGAACGAAGUAGCAAUACUUAGUGGCAGACGGGUGAGUAACGCGUAGAUAACGUGCCCUCUCGCGGGGGAUACCGUUUCGAAAGGAACGUUAAUACCGCAUAAAAUGUUGACGUGGCAUCACAUUGACAUCAAACUCACGGGGUGAGAGGAGCGAUCUGCGUUCUAUCAGCUAGUUGGUGAGGUAGUGGCUCACCAAGGCUACGACGGAUAACUGGUCUGAGAGGAUGAUCAGUCACACUGG